UAUCUCUGUAGAGUCUGCAUAUCAAUAAGCGGAGGAAAAGAAACUAACAAGGAUUCCCCUAGUAACGGCGAGUGAAGCGGGAAGAGCUCAAAUUUGAAAUCUUCAAGGUUUGACCUUGACGAAUUGUAGUUUAAAGAAGUGUUUUCGGUUAGAGGAGUAGUAAAAGUUCUUUGGAAUAGGACAUCAUAGAGGGUGAGAAUCCCGUAUUUGGUUAUUCAUUCUAGCUUUGUGAUACACCUUCAAAGAGUCGGAUUGUUUGGGAAUGCAGUCCAAAAUGGGUGGUAAAUUUCAUCUAAAGCUAAAUAUUGGCGAGAGACCGAUAGCGAACAAGUACCGUGAGGGAAAGAUGAAAAGAACUUUGAAAAGAGAGUUAAACAGUACGUGAAAUUGUCAAAAGGGAAGCGUUUGACACCAGUGUUGUUUUUCCGAAAAUCAAUUACGAAUGGCUUGAUUUUGUGUUGUAUUGACCUUAUCAGCUUUCUUCACUUUUUUCGAGUCUUUCUUAAUGCACUUUUCGGUUAGCAAGUCAACAUCAAUUUCUUUUGUUGUGAAAGAGUAUUCGGAAGGUGGCUUUCUUUUCGGAGAAAGUGUUUAUAGCCCUAUACUUCUACAAUCGGAGAGAUUGAGGUCUGCAGCGUAGAUCCUUCGGGGUUAGAUACAUUUGUGCUAAGUUGUAGCUUUUCAUAGACAACUUGUUGACUAUGUUUAGUCAUGCGGCUUACUCGCUUAUGCUAUUUUACCUACGCUUAGGAUGUUGAACUACUGAGACAUAGA
rnacentral:rRNA from 1 species